UUUAAAUAUUAAUAUAAAUUUGAUUGAGUCUCUAUAAUUUGAAAAACACAAUUAUAUAAUUUUUAUAUUUUCUAUACCUUAAUUUAUUUAGUCCCGUUAAAGUAAUAUAUUUAAUCUAGCAAAAGUAAAGGAUUUAUGCUUUUAAUGCUUUUGCCGACAUGCAUUCCAGUGGCUUUACUUGCACUGGUUAUGGACUUUCCAAUUUUGUUGCCACUAUCUUUCAUAUAGGCAAUUCCUCAUUCUUACUCAGAAGCUUCAAUGAUGGAUGAACGUUGACAUCACGUAAUAGACCCUUUCUCCAAUAUCUAGGUUGCUCACAUACACCUCAAAUUUUGGAGGAAUGUGUUCAGCUGGACAAAGA
rnacentral:misc_RNA from 1 species